rnacentral:rRNA from 1 species
UGAGGAAUAUUGGUCAAUGGGCGCUAGCCUGAACCAGCCAAGUAGCGUGCAGGACGACGGCCCUAUGGGUUGUAAACUGCUUUUAUGCGGGGAUAAAGUCACCCACGUGUGGGUGUUUGCAGGUACCGUAUGAAUAAGGACCGGCUAAUUCCGUGCCAGCAGCCGCGGUAAUACGGAAGGUCCGGGCGUUAUCCGGAUUUAUUGGGUUUAAAGGGAGCGUAGGCCGUAGAUUAAGUGUGUUGUGAAAUGUAGACGCUCAACGUCUGACUUGCAGCGCAUACUGGUUUACUUGAGUUUGCACAACGUUGGCGGAAUUCGUCGUGUAGCGGUGAAAUGCUUAGAUAUGACGAAGAACUCCGAUUGCGAAGGCAGCUUGCGGGAGCAAAACUGACGCUGAAGCUCGAAAGUGCGGGUAUCGAACAGG